rnacentral:lncRNA from 1 species
GCCAAGGUCCUUAGGCUAGGACAAAAGUAUAUAGCAACAUGAAAAUUAAAACGAAAUCAACAUGCUAAAGCAUAGGUCCUCCUGCAGAAUGGAAAUGUAAAUCUGGAAAAAGAAGAUAUUAUAUUGAAAGAUGAGCAACAUCAGAUCAAUUGUCUAAAUUGUGAUCAAACACUAUAGAGAUAUAUGAUAUGACAACAACACUGAGAAUGUGAUUGUUGUGAAAGUUCAACGUGAUUGUUCAGUACCUACUGAAGAACACCUUUGUGACAUGGAAGUAACUACCAUAUAUAUGUGGCCAUCCUUUUUCUAUGUGAGCAAAUCCAAAUCAACCAAAGAUAUCUGAAACCACUCAGUAUCUCGGUAGGCAUAUUUGUCAUCGACAUAUUUAUCAUAUCUUGAUGCUUCACUCUUGAUUCUCUUGAAUCCAUCAGAAUGGUCUUCUUGGCGCGGACUUUCUCCUUCAUCUACUAAAAACCUGAUGUCACCAAAAAGACGAAUCAGCUUGUACACAAAACAUUACAUCACUGACAAAUUUCUAAGAUCAAUAUAUACUCCUCACUGUGAAGAGUUAGAGCAUAUCCAAACUGAGAACAGUUAGAAUAUAUCUAGCUAAUCCUAACUGAGAAGAGUUAGAACAUAUCCAAACUUCCUAGCGAGACGUAUGUAUUUCUAGGAAGCUUAGGCAGGGUUACAAUUAUGUAUGGAAUGCCUUAGGAGAAUCAAAUAAAACAACAGUAAGGGAGCUAGCUACCUCAUCCUUUGCUUCAAGGUUGCAUAAUGUUGAUGCCUGGGAGGAACAUGCUGCCAGAAACAAAAGUUUUGUUUUCGUAGAAAGAAACUUGUUUGUAGGCAUGACUCAAAGUACUACCUCGGGUGCGGUAUGGGCUGUCCUCAUCCUGGUUUGCCAAUGUGCUCAGUUUUGGUGGCAGUUGGCGACGUAGUUGCGAGGCUUGGGGGCCAUGGCGAGGACGUCGUCGAGGAUGGCACACGAGACUAUCAAGCUCGAGGAUAGGGGGCUUCGGCAGUGGCAAAAGGAUGCACGUAUGGAUGCUCCCUUAGCAGGCGUCAUUGUCGACCUGCUAGUCAACAUUCUUCUCUUGCUCUGGUUCUACUAUUAUGCGGGCAUGUGUUGCUUAGUUUUAAUUUCCCUAUCGUUCUUGGACCAUGACUGAUCAGUCACAACCAUACAUUUAUAUGAUCUAUUACUCCGUACUUGUUACUCUUGUUUCUCUGCAUUGUUUGCUGCAAAAAUUAAAACUUUGAGGUGCAGAUUCACAAGAAUGUCAGGACAGUAUUCAAAAUAUUUUAUUUUGAGCCUUGUUCAUACGAAAAGUGACAUUGUAGGUUGGAUUGCUAGCUCAAGGUGCAUGAGAGAUCUAAAAAAACGAAAAUCUCCAAGGAUCUUUUACCCACGUGCACACACAAAUGGGCGCAUAACCAAAACUUAUAUCCUUUUAGUCUGUUGGAAAAUGAAGAUACUAAUAUGCUGGAAUUCUAACCUUCAGAAAACUCCCAAUCGUCAUUCUGUACGCACCUAUACAGGGGCAUUCUAUGUACUUAUCCCAAUCAUCAAUCUGCCGGAAACUAAUUAUGGGCUGCAUAAGCUACCGGAUGCACAGAAAUAUGAUGCACGUGUUGUUGGAGUUGCAACCAAAACAGUCAUUCAUGCCCAUCUUCUCUGAAGUUUGAGGCAUCGGUUCUGUGAAGUCUUGCUAGCUAGUAUAAAAUGCGAACUUAUUAUAUUACCACUGCCAACCACUAAUGCGAAUUCUUGACCUUGUUUCCCUCAAAAACAAUAUUUCUCCACAUGAAGUUAUUUAUAAAAAAGGGACAACUUUCAUGGUUCUAAAGUUAAAAAUACAAAAAUAAUAUAUAGCUCAAACUCAUGCACACCUUCAGCUAAAUAACUACAGAGACUCUGAGUUCAACCAUCCAUGCAGCAUUGGUCUUACAAACAACUCAAUUAUAAACACACCUGGGUCUGGGACUCUUGCUCAGUGGAUCUACCAGCCUCAGCUUCCCCCUCUGUUGCUAUCUUCCAUAUUUUAAUCUCCUCUCCAGUAGCUGUGUUAUGUCCAUUAUCAGACCCUCGACCUAAAGAAUGCAUCAAACACAGUUAUGUGAUGCCUCGUUGGCUCCACCUUCUUAAGAGAAGCACUAUACUUUUUUUUCCGAGAAAACAGAGAAGUAGUAUACUUGAAACAUCAUAACACACAUGAGAACAUUGCAAUUUCGUACAUUAUAGACAACUAAUGGCUUGACUAAACUAACCAAGCACAUGUUAUGUUUGGUGUUUUGACAGCAAGCCAUACACAGAGUAAGAAGCACAUGUUAUGGUUGGUGUUAUGUUGGCUACUCUUCCAACUCAGUAGCAUCCCUGCCCGUAUGGAUCACCUAACCUUCUUCAUAGGUGUCACUACCAGAAAAAACCUACACACAGAAAUCAACACCGCUACCGGGCCAUGGCCGCUGCCAUGUCCACGGAGUCAUGCAUGCUACGGAUCUCAGGCUCGACCUCGCCUAUCUCCUUAACCGUGUAGUUGCAGAGGUGGCCGUCCAGGCGACAUAGUACUGCCAAUGCCCCGCUGGUGAUCAGCAUCAGGGUGACCUUGGCGUAAAUGAAACGGUCUUUCCCCUGCUCUUUCAGCGGGAGGUAUACUUUCCCAAAACUGAACAUAUGGACUUCUCAUGACAAAAUAUUUGAACCCACCCAAGGAUUUGAACUUAUUUGUAGCAUGUAUAUAUAUUUUAUUUUUUUGUUAAGUAGCUGGGGGUGAUCUCCCUUUAAUCUGAAUAAGAAAAGUACAAAAGUUGUUUAUCACUCUAUCCAAAAUUUCACCACUACUAUAUUGUUCCUAUAGUUUCCGGUUUAUUCCGAAAAACUGUAGCAUCAUUAUUAGCAACGUUCAGUAGAUCAUUGCCUCUAUAUAAAUUGGCCUUCUAGAUUGUGAUUCCACUCUUUUAUAAAUUAUUCACUAAAGCCCUCAUACAAUGUGUGAGAAAUCUGACAAAAUAUUAGUAGGCCUUGAAAAGCAUAUUAACAAAAUAGGUGGCUAACACAAACUUGCAAGUAGAGCACGAUGUAUGAGAGAGAGAGAGAGGUGGGGCUGCACCGUGCGUUACACAUGAAUAUUCUUGUGGACAUUGUAUCAAACAGAUGUCCUACAAUUUGAUGCAAAAACAAAUCUCUAAUGGUUGGGAAGAACAACGAAUCAAAGGAGCAGCCAGAGCUCUUACCAACAGGCCACAUGAAGGAGGAGUUGCACUGGUCACUGGGACGGAGCUGGGAGGUGACGUGUCCCAGUCCCAACGUGGUCGGGGGCGGCGCGACUCAAGGGGAGUGGAGUAGGGAGGAGUCGCCGGGGCGCGUGGCCGGGAAGAGGCUAGCGGCGCGUGGCCGGGAGCGCCGCACAUCGCCGGCGGCACAGCAACGAGGAGGCGCGGGGGUGGGGCAAUUGGCUAGGAGCGGCUAGUGGGCUGGGAUCGGGGCAGGAAGACGAUGGGGUAGGUG